rnacentral:rRNA from 1 species
CAAUCACUUGUCCUUUAAAUGAGGACCUGUAUGAAUGGCAUCACGAGGGCUUAACUGUCUCCCUUGUCCCGUCAAUGAAAUUGAUCUCUCCGUGCAGAAGCGGGGAUACCACCAUAAGACGAGAAGACCCUAUGGAGCUUUAAACGACUAACGGCCCACCUAAGACGACUCAAAGACACCCGAGCAUCCUCCUUUUGGUACUGCCCCGUUUCAUGUUUUUGGUUGGGGCGACCGUGGGGAAAAGAAAAUCCCCCAUGAGGACUGUAAGCCAAUCCUUAAAUAACUAAGAAAGACUAAUCAAAGCAACAGAAUCUCUGACCCUAAAGAUCCGGCUAACCGGCCGAUCAACGAACCAAGUUACCCUAGGGAUAACAGCGCAAUCCCCUCCCAGAGCCCA